UGUUUUUGACUUAAGGGAUGCUGCUUAUCAUUCAGUAAAGUUAAGAGUAAUAAACAUGCUCAGGUUUCAGAUUUAGAAUGCAGCAAAAAACCAAUCACUCUCACAGCAACCUCUGUUAGUCCCUGAAGCUCAGAGAUGAGGGCUUUGAGGGCUUUUAAGUUUGGUUAUUUUCUGUGAUUGCCUUUCUUAGUCAUUUUUACAGCUGUGAAAUAAUAGUAGGUGAUAUCGGUGUGUCCAAAGAAGACUAAAGGGUCAGGGAUUCAGGCUGUUCUGAUGGAGAUUUUAGUGGCUCCUAAGGGGUCUUCAUUGCAGGAGAAAGGAGUUAGGGAGAAAAUGAGAAUUAUGUGCUUGAGUUGGGAGUGAAUGCAAGUUCCUCCUGACAAAUAAAAUUAAUAAGGAAUGGGAACAUUGAGAUACUUCAUUACACCUAAAUAUGCUAAAUUACUUGAAGGUAGAAAGAAGCAAGGAAAAUAACCAACAAAUUCCAGUCUGAUGAUAUCCAGUUGGACUUUUAAAACUACUUAUGGAAAAUAGUCUUUUGUGAUACAUUUGAACUGUUUUUGAGUAGUUUUCUUUAUGUACAAGACUUGAUCUUUAGAAAAAUAGGGCAGGAUAUUACAGUGGAUCACAACCCUAGACAAUAGAACAGGGACAGAAUCUAUCAUUUUAUAAUCCUGAAGUGUACUAAAUAACCAUUUAAGUAAGAAAAUAGUAUGUUAAAUUAGAUUGUCACUGAGGUUGUACAGGAAAAUAGAGUUUUAAACUUUUGGGCUAUUCAGAACACAAGGGAGAAAACUGAGUGGGGAGUACUGGAAUUGCUAAGCCUAUCGGUUCAAAAAUUUCUUGCUGCUGUUAUGCUCUGAGGAUGGAUAUAGAUUUUGUGUCACACCCCUUUGAAACUAAUGAAGCCUUGCUGUAUGACAGCCAUUGCAAUGGGCCCGAAUCUGCAGCUGAAAUACAAAGUCAUUUAUUUCAAUGAAGUAUAAACACUUUUAUUUUCAACAAAGUAUUUUAAAAGCUGCAGAAAGUAUUUAUUUUGUUGAGGUACUAUUUUGACAAUUUUUUUCUGCAAUUAAGCAUUUUACUGUGAAUUAAGAUGAAACUUGCUUUUGAGAUGUGAAGUUUGCUAUGGAGUUAAGCGUGGUUUCUAAACUUUUUAGACAUUCUCUAAAAUCAGAGCUGGUUCCUGAAGGAUUUCAAAUUCUGAAAAUCACAGGAAAGACAGCAGAGGAAACUGAUCUGUUUGGGGGUGAAAAAGGAUGAAGACUAGUUAUUUUCUUAUGGUUUGAGUGAUACAUGGAGGGUUACCUGAGGUCUUAGCAGACUCAUAUGUUAAAAGAAGUGUGAGCAGCUGAAAAAUGUAAAACUGCUCUAGUUAUCCCUCAUCAUUAAGAUUGCAGUGGAAAUCAUAACUGCUUAGGUUCUUACAAUUUCAGAUAGAAAUGAAUGUUUUCUAAUAUGUAUUGAUAUAAAAUAAAUUAUUUUAAAUAACUAUGCUAGCAAGCAUAACCCCAGUCUAUGAAGAUUUAUGGUGAGACAGUUGAAGCAAACAGGAAUGAUACCCCAGGGCAUUUUCUCUUCUUGUGUAGUUUGAUUCUCUUCAUUAUUUGAUAUUCAAGAAGUAGUAAACUUGAGCUGCUCACUUCUGCUCUCCAGUGUGUGUGAAGAAUCCAAAAUCUGUACCCAUCUUUAACUUCCAGUGCUGCAAUAACAGGAGGAACCCUCAGAGGGAGGGGAUGAAAGAGCAGAAUGAGGUCUCAAAGGAACAAACUGAGCCAAAUAAUGGAAAUUCCACUCUAAUAAUUUUCUUCGCACUUUCAUUCCAUCUGUGGUCCACCCAUUAAUUCAAUUAUAUCUCUUUCCUUUACAUAAAUGAUUUUCUUUUAUGUGUGAGUUACUGUGUUGUCAUGUUCCUAGGUGAAUGAUGAUGAAAAUCAAAAAGGAUUGCUUGUAAAAGCAUACAGCAUUCUUUAUACAGACUUAGAAAGGUAAUUUAUAAUGCCAGGAAGUGUUAGUAAUGCAGCAAGUGGAAUUGGAAUAUUCACCACUUAAAAGUUUACUGCAACAAAAGUGGCACUGAAGGAUUCCACCGUGCUUUAAAAAUAAAAUCAAAAGUCUUUAAAAUGUUUUCCUCAGAACGGAACUACCUAAGUAAAUGUAAAGUAGCAGGGACAAGCCACUUGUUGGUAAUGGUUUCUAAAUAUUAAAAAAGUUUUAAAAGAGCAGCCUGAAUAGGUAAUUAUUCUUUGGAGCUCCUUGUGCUUAUUGGUCAAUAAUUCUCUUGCGGAAGGAAUACAUAAGAGCCCACACCUUUCUUUAAACCUGCUUCUUUCCACUCAACUGGAAAAAAACCAUAUUUUUCUGGACAGGAGCAAACACUCCUAAUAGCCUGAAACUGCUGUUGAUCCCUUUUCUUGCUAGGGCCACCUAAAAAAUGCAUGGGAUGCUACUUUUAUGAAGCAAGAAGAGGAAGGAGAAAAUAAAGAAUUCAAACUCUGGACAGGUGGUUUAGGUCACUGAUUUUCUGCUCAAUCUCCUGUUUCUAACUGUGUGAAAUGGAUCAAACCAAUUUCUUCUGGCUUGUGGUUUCCUCCACUGUCCAUUUUACUGUGUUUAGAUUAUUAAAAAACCUCUCCCAAGUGCUUUUAUCUCAGUGACUGUGGAGCACUGUGCAUCUCUGAGUGCAGCCCCAGCACAAUGAAGAUUUGCUAUUCUCAGCUGUUUUCUGUUCCAUAACCAUUUAUGGUACAGGUGUUUAUAUGGGAUGUAACAGUGCCAUCAGACUGGCACAUAGGAAUUUUCUUCAAUAAUUUGGAAACAACCUCUCCAUUUAUAAAUUAAGUCCAAUGCUUCUGUAUUAAAUGGACCAAGUCUUUAUAUUAUUUUAAAUGUUGUCUGAUGUCAGGAUGAUUCUUGUUUCUCAGACUGAAAGGCACUGUAGAAGGGACAGUGGAGGCAAUAUUGGAUUUAUUUUUGUUUGUUGCCGCCAUUGUAGGGGUGAUGAACAUAAACAUAGUAGAGUUCAGAAUCUUUUGAGAAAACAAUAUAUCAUUUGUGUUAGGUUUUUGCAUUAUCACACACUCUGCCACUCCCAGGCUCGACAGAGAUUCUCCUCCUGCCCUGGUGGCAAUCAGGGUGCUGCCCAGCAAUUGACUCAGACCAGUUUAAUCAAGGAGGACAUUCUGGGCUGAUCAAGUGAUGAAAAAUGGGCACCUGAUCCCAUCCACACAACUCCAGUCAUCUCCUGAGAGUCGUGAUCCUUUCCUUGGACAGCUGUGUGGUCCCACUCUGGGAUUCUUGCUCUCUGCCUCUCCCCAGUGCCUUGUGUCAGUCUCAAGGGUUUUGUUGAUUUGUCACCCCAUUGCACAACACUGAGCUUGAGACAUUCUGUGCUCACAGAAAACCGAGGAGGGCGUGAACAGACAAAAUCUUGGUAGGUAUGAAGUAUAGACAUAUGUGUUAUAGGCACUUAUGAUACACAUUAUUGUAAAACUUCUCUUGUGUAAUAGCAGCUUUUGGACACAAUUAAGCAGUGUAUGCACUUCGCAUCCGCACAAACACUUGCCUUGCACUGGGUUUGUAAUAAUGUAUUUCAUAUCAUAGCUCAGUUUCCCUCACUUACAGCACUGUAUCUUAUGUGAAGUUUAGAAAAUUAUACAAAGCUUGAGAGAAAAAGAACUAUUUUGUGGAAGUGAUUGGUUUUUAGUUAAUCCAUUGACUGGUACUCCAGUUAGUUGGUGUGCAAUUACCAUGGUGAUAUAAAGACUGCAAAACAAUUACCUUUAAAAAUGUAAUUUUUAAAUUUUUUUUGUUGUUGUUGUUUGUUUGUUUUUUAGAAAUCAUGAUGUAUUCUAACUUACUUGCUCUUUAUAUAAAGUUUAAAAUAACAGAAAAAUAAUUUGGGUUAACAAAUGUGAACAAUUGCCAACCUGUUAUAGGAAUCCAUCUCCAUAAAAAAAACUAUAUUUAAAUAUAACUUAUUUCCUUUAAAAUUAUUUAAUUAAUCAAACUUAAAUUUCGUUUGAGCAUUUGAAAUUAACUUAUUCCUAUCAAAUGACAAAGAAAUUUAAGUAACUGUGAUUCUGCAACAGUGGAUAUAAUAAUCUUAACAUGUCAGGCCUAGUGUGUUUUGUUGUUGCUGAAAAGUUUUCAAGUCAGGUUGAUCCCUUUUUUAACCAGCUGCUCAAAAAAAUUCUGAAAGACUCAUUGGUACUUGAUUGAUUUGUUAGUGCCUGUGACAGAUUUAAUGGAUAUUUCUGACAAGAUUUCUGCUCCUUACUGCUGCCUGCCUUGGAGAGCUUCCAGGUGUGCUAAUGAAAAAAAGUCAUGAAUGAAGACAGGAACAGUGAGCAUUGUAUUUGGUGUGGCAUCCAAAGAACAGAAAUUAAAUAUAACACUGUAAUUAAUAGGCAUGCUAGAAUUGAAAGCAUGACACCAAUUUAUAAUCAGCUUUCAGAUGUUUUUGGACUAGAAUACAUUAUUUAGGACAGCAAAGCUUCUACAUCCCCCCUAGCAGCUUCUCUGGAGCUGGGAGCUGUUUCUGCAUGGCCUCUUCUCCCAGGACUUCACCUCUGCAGCAGUUCACUAAAACUGGACACAGCAAAGGGCAAAAUUCUGCAGCUCUGUUGGCUCAAAUGGGUGUUUGCCCAUUUCUGCCUCAGUGCUGUCCUUGUGUGUGGGGACUGGCUGCUGUGUGGGAGCUGCCUGCUAGAACAGCAGCAUGAAAGGCAGUGGGAAUCAUGUGCAAUGAAAGAGAAAUCAUGUGCCAUAAAAAGCCCCAUAUGCUUUAUGUAAAAUUUUUGAUUAAAAAGUGCUUCCUUGAAUGGAAUUUGCCCCAGCUGUUGCCAUCUGUCAGUUUUUCAGAGCCCUUUAGAAAACACAACAUUAUUGAUUUUGGUCCAUCUCUCUGAGAGUGCUACUAUAGGACAUGCCACAUAUGGCAGGUUAUCAGUGGUACUGCAGUAGCCAAGGGCUGCUGGGUGUGGGGCUGAGCUGAUGGACUGAAAACAAAACAGUCCUUUGCUUUAAUCUGCAAGAUUGAAGUAGCAGACCCUGCCUACUGUUUACUGCAAAGUGCUUUUCUAUGCUGCAUGCGAAAGCAGAGAAAUCACAGCUUUCUCCAGAGUCCCCACGUAAUUCAUUUUCUUGGUAUGGUUUUACAUACAGGAAAAAGUUAAUUUGCUUAAAAUGUUUCUUGCCAGUGACUGUGGCUUUAUUGAGCAGAAUUUUAUAUCUAGAAAUAAUCUCCCUUGUGCUGAUUUAUUUUUAAGUUUUUUAUUUAUCUUCAUAGAAGAGAGGGAACAAACAUUAGGGGACAAACACUUUCAUGUAUGUCUGUCCUGAUGCUGUGACUGCAGGUGUAGAAGGAGUGGCCUGACUUCUUGAGAGGUGAAAAAUAAAAAGGACAGUUUCUCAGACAGCAAGAGAAUUUUUGAAUUAAAAAACUUGAAAAUAAAUAAUUCUGAAAUGUAUUUAAUGUAUUCAAAUGUAUUAAUUAAACCCUUAAGUCAGAAAUCUAUAGACCAUCUCAGAAUACAUUUUUAAUUAUUUUGCCAUGUCUUAAGCUGCCUCAGCACAUGGAGGCUUGCUGAGGUUUGGAAUAACACUGGAGGAGGGGUAUUAGAUAAACAGGUGAGGCAUCUGGAGACACAGCCUGUGUACAUUUUGGGUUUUCAGCAUAACUUUCUGGAAGGACAAUACUGUCAUGCUGCAGCUAAGGUAGUGCUUAAAUUUGCAUUGUCAUUAAACUUAAUCUGAAUUUUCAGAAACAUUUUGCUCAUGGCGCAAUUUCUGUAUGAAUUGGUCUGUGACUCAGAAUAAGGAACUGAAGUAUAGCUACUUUGCUUAAAUAGCAUACAUUGUUUAAAAUAACAUACAGUUUCCUAGCAGUUUUUCAAACUGCUGUACUGAAGAUUAAGUUAGUUCUUACACUCAGCCUUGAAACUGACUCUUAAUUGUAGGAGAUACUGACUUAUCUUGAGAUUGCAAGUUUAAAUCAUAUAUAAAUAACAUCAAAUAUUUACUAGUUUGUUCUGGGAUACUUUUAUUAUGAAAAUGGGAGAUUUUUAACUCUGUUCCUAUGAUAAAGAUGUAAAAAUCCAAACAUCAGAAGAUAAGUGAAUGUAGAUUUAAAACAUGAAAGUUUGGCUUUGAAUGAAAAAAGAGAAAGCUGAGUCAUUGUUUCCUAAAACUGAUGAGAAGUAAUUUAAGGUGCUGAAAUAAGCAUCUGAAAAAAGUAGAUGUUACAAUUAACUUUGAGAUUGAUAAGUCAGUAGAUAAAAUCUAGGAAACAGAAGCCAGAAUUUACAGAAAGGAGAGACAUGCUGAGCAUUCCAGGUAGUCCUGUGAUUGCUACAGUCAUAAUAUUUCUUCUGAGUUUGUAUUCAUCUAAUCUGAAGAAUGUUCAGAUCGAAUAAUAUUUUGCAUAUGAAGAAAGAAGUGCUAUCGUUCACUAUGGUUCAUUGAAACUCUGUUGGGUGUGUGAUAUUGCACUGUGGUUUUCUGCUUUCUGAGCACACCAAAGCCGCUCUCGUUGUGCUGGCUCUUUAGUUGCCACUUGAGUAAAACCAGGCUUUUUAGGAGGUUUGCAUUGGUCAGAAUCAAUCAAUUUUUUAUCUAAAAAAUUGAAAACAAAAUAAGUAACUUACCACACUUCAGGAGGGUGCUCAGAGCACAAAACUAGGGCACAGGAAUGAAUAUUUCAGUGUUCUGCGCUUAAGCCACUCCGUGCUGUUUUGCUAAUGACAAUGGAAACAACUGAUAAAAGGAGGGGAAGAGAGAAGUGUUCCCUUUCUUCCAUUAGUUGUCAGCAAAUACCUGAAUUGACUAAGGCUGUGAUCUGAUAGCUGGUGUUUCCACCUCACCUGGCAGCCAGUUUAUCCACACACUCAGUUAAUUUUUUUCUUAAGAUUAUAAAUUCAUAGAAUUUCUUCUUUAAUCCAGAGUAUGUGUAUAAAAUUCUUCUUAGAAGGAAUUAGAGCCCAGAGGCCUUCAGAAAUCAGUAUUUAAUUCUUUCAUCUGACACAGAUUUUGGGCAGUCAGUUAAGAAGUGCCCAGGUUGAUUACCCUUCAUCAUUGGGUGUACAACAACAUCAGUGAACAUCAGUGGAGGAAAUCUGUUGAAAUAAAUAUUCUGAUAUUAAUAUAAUUGCUGUUGUUCAUGUUCCCUGUACAGCCAUGAUGACUAUAAUGUAUACAAUACUUCCUCUUUCAUAUUCCAACAUUCGUCUGAACUUCUACUUCCUUGCCUUUCCUUUUGGUUUGGAAAGGUGGCCUCUCCCAUUUUCUAAAGCAUACUUGCUUCAGUUUUAGGGCCUUGUCCAAACUGGUCAAAGUACAAGAUGUAUGUGUAUAUUCGUCUCCUUGAAGGAAAAAUUCUUAGCAACUUAAAACCCGCAAGAGUGUUUCAUUUUAUUUACAUUGGACAUUCAAAAGACAUAGAUCAGUCCUGAGAGGGAGCUGUUUGCCUCUCAUGGCUUAUUGCAAAUUCUUUAAUUGUCUAAUUUGAUAAGCAUUUAAGUUUAGAUUUCUUGCCAUUUUGUUUAUCACAGUCUGUACUUCAAAUAGAAAUUAAAGACAAAAUUCUCAUGUGCUUUUGUUUCUCAAAUUAUUCCAGGUCAUCAGUGCAUUAGGUCAAGAAAAUGCAAACUGCAGUGCUGGGCCUCAGCCCUUCCUGCAGGGGACAGAGAAUUCUCAGCUCUUCAUUAUUUGUGCACUUCAACAGAUAUAUCCAAGAGAUUAUACACAAAAGCUUUGUAUUUCUCUCUCUGUUUCUAAGUGGUCUUAACCACAGGCAAUGGAAGUACAGUUUUCAUUUAUUUGUAGGUUUUUAAACUUAAUUGGAAGUUGCCUUUUCUGCUGUGCCACAAAUAAAUGUGUGUGUUUAUGGUCUGGUUCUUGUCUCUUAUUUCUCCUGCCACACAGUACUGCAAUUGUCACGGGAAUUCUGAACUAAUAAUGAUCUCAUCACUGACAUUAGCACCUUUGACUUGCACUGACACACGUCUGUGACGUGUGUCAGGGCUGCACCUAUUGGCAGCUUCUGCUUUCUGCUGCUUCCUUCUGAAUGUUUUUCAGAAAGGGAAAAUAAAAAGCUUUUCAUUGAGACACUCUAUUUAUUCUUGGAAUAAAUAUUAUUAUUUAUUAUUAUUAUUGGAAUAGUCCAGACACCAUUUGUGCACUUAAUAGAUGAGCUCUGGUUUAUUAAGAAAAUGGACACCAUUAGUUUGAAAUAAGUCAGAUUUUCAUCUGACUUACAAUGAGUUCUCAUUACUCUGCUAAAAGACUGAAGGCAAUAUGAGUCUGGCCAUACAUGGGUCCCAACAAUUCUUUUCUCAUUUACUGUCCCUUCUAUAUCAAGAAAGUAGCUUUGUUUUAAAAAGCCCUUUUGAAUAUAUUUGUGAUAGUCAGAAAAUUAUUAAUGGCUUCACAUUUACUAUAUGAUUGACAAGUUUAAUAGGCUACAUUCUGUGAUGUCAGUGAAUGCUUUUUCUUUCAGAGACAAGCAUAGGAAAUGUGUAUUUUAAAAUUUAUUCUUGUUAAUAGAUCUGAUUGCUUCAAAGAGUGGGCAGCUGCAAUACCUCAGUUCUGAGGCUAAUUAAAUAACGUCUCUUGGUUUCCAAUGGGAAGCAAUUGCUUCCCUGAUAAAUAAAACAGUUUUCAUGUUUUAGACACUAAUGAGGGAAACCUGAUAAUGAUAAAAUAUGUCAGUGUUCUUUUUUGUCUGUGUGAACUGUGUGACACAAGAUAGUGCUAUUUAGGGAAAACUGACCAUCCACCUGCUACAGGGAAACAGCAAAAGCCAAGAAUUCUGUCUGAGCCAAAACUCCCAACCACCUUCCGUCCCUCUCUGGUUUUUUGGAAUAGCAGUGCAUCUUUUAUUUCAUUAUUAUAGCCAUGUUAUUGCAGCAAAUAAAUUACUGUUAGAUCUGAAAAUAUCAAAAGUGUAAUGGAUUUAAAAUUAUACAUACAGAAUUAAAUAUUAAAGAGCUGUUUGAACCCGCUUCUCUGUUAAUGAUGACUCAAGUCCUGAUCUACUUUUCAUCUCUUUCAGUGAAAUGCUGACAGCACUUCCUUGGCUUUUUUCCCAGCCUCCCCUGUAAAAAUGCUAUAAUUCUAAUGUCUACCCUUCCUGUGCUCAGCAAAAUAAGGACUAAUCUUCCUGAUGGACCUUUCUUCUUAAUUUCUAGCCCUUGAACAAGUAAAAAAUUGACUAUCAAACAAAAUCCAGUUACAUAUGAAGUAAUCAACUACUGCAGAAAAACAGUCAAUCUUUAUCAUUGCCAGAAGACCAGAAUCUUCAGUGUGGCUGAAAAUGAGCAAAAGUAAUAGUAAAAGAGAAAUAACCGUUUUGGGAGGUUUUUUUGUUUUUUUUUUUUUUUUUCCCACUCUGUAUUUUCUUCUCAUGACUGAUUACUAAUUCUAAGUGUGCAACCAUCUGCUGCAGCCAGCAGUAAUAUCCAAUAAACUCUGAGCUGGGAUUUGCAUCAGGAUGAGUGGCAACUGCAUGGCAUGGCAAUCUUGGGCACUGUAAAUGAAAUACUUCUCCUGGUUUGGAAGUUCAUUGUUCACUGUAGAAAUCACUAUUUAAGUGCUUAGCUCAACCCUCUGGAGCACACAGGGACAGAGUUCUUCCCAAAGACUCAGCUUGUGCAAAAAGUUUAUUUGUACAUCAGAGUCCUCCAAGACACCCGGGCUGAAAUUUGCAGGAGUAGAUACUCUUCCCUGCUGCUAAAGAUUUACCCCACAUGUUGAGGAAUUGCUUUUGAUAGAACCUCAAGACUACAGUACCAAAGUACCUAAGGGAAUCAGAACAAAUACUUAUUCCAAGCUAUGAAAAUUGAGGAGGAAUAGGAGAAGAAGGUCCUGUAGAACAGGGAUUUCCCAGGGUUUUGAAGGGGGUGCGGUAGUGAAACUGCUGUUUUUUUGUUUUUUUUUUUCCCUUUUAGAAAUAUCUUCUUAUAGACCUAUUGAGCCAGCUGUGAGGGAUGACUCAAGAGUCAAAUAGUCCUUUACAUGUAUUCUGGGAUGCUUCUGUGGGAGUUUGACUGUAAAUUUAAGAAGCACAUCUCUAUUACAUCCCUAAAGAAAUGCAAUGUUUUCACAGUGGAAAUGCCAUGUCAUUGCUGGUUCUUUCUCCUGGAUUCUUCUUGGUGCUGAAACCAACUGUAAUGAUGCUUGAUUGCUUUGGUGGUGGUGGUGAUGAUCCUUCUACCAAUCCAAAAGGAAGUGAUUUUGGAAGUGCUCUCUCUCCCAGCUCUCAGGCUGAGAACCCCCCUAGUCCUUGGAUCUUCAUAGUUCUUUACCUGGAGACCUUUCAGGAGCUGGCAAGCUGAGGUUCCUUAUUUCUUGAAAGGUACCAAGGAGAAUACUUUAAACAUACUACUUUUCUUUCUCUUUUGUUUUAAAGUGACAUUUGCACACAGCCAAUAAACUUUGUAACUACGUAUAAUCUUAUGUAACCUUAUCUUGACCUUCUCAGGCAUGUAGAGAAUCAAGUGAAUUUCACUUACUUGAACUUGGUUCUCUAGGGACUCUCAGCAUUAGCUCUUUUUAUACCUAUUUGCCUAAAAUGCUUUCAGGAAUUAUUAGUGUUUAAAUGUGUGUAUUCAUUCUUGCUAUAAAUUUGACAGAGCAAAUUUUACUGGCUUUAUUGGUUCAUAAUUUUAGCUUUAUGUACAGAACGUGUGAAGCAAUACAGAUGGAUUUACAACUAAACACAUUCAUCUUCAUGAAACGUGUAGCUGAGGUCCUUAACUCUAGGAUAUUUCUGAACAUUCACAUAAAUGCUUUCAUUAAGUAAUCAAUAGCAUUGAGUAUUUUUGCAUAAACCAUAUGGAUGAGAGAUGUUAAAAAGUAACAGGGAUUAUAAAUCCAUUUUGUCAUUUCUCAGAGUAUUAAGUGCUUCAAUACAAAAUAAAGGUAUAUAACUGUGCAUACGUUUAAGAACUGAUAGCUAUAAUAUUAAUACACUCUAGACAUGUUUUAGUAAUCCAGAAAUAAUUUUUUGGUUAUUGAGUUUAGUUAGAAACCUGCAGGUUUUGACCCACUGUUGGUGAAUUUAUAUCAUAUGUAAUAAAAAUACUUUAAAUCAGUCAACUGCUUUAUACUUAUACAAAAAUAAUUUUUCCCUUUUGUGUUAAAUAAAGGUUUCCUUCUUCUGUAACUGUUUUGUUGCCUAAAGGUCUAAAACAUUGAAUUAAAAUGCUUCGUGUUGUAGUUCAAUCAAAAAUAUGCUGGUUGCAAAGGAUUUCAGAGUUGGCCACAAAUGAGCAGGUUAUAAAAUAAUCAGUUACAGUAAUCUGUGAAAAUGGUACUUCGUUGUUAUUGGAAAAAUAAAAUCCAAUUCCAAAUUUUAUGCAAUUAUUUCAGAGCUGCAUAAAUUAGGAAUUGCUCAGUGGCUUAAGUUAGAAGCAAAAAGCCAGUUUGUGGGAGUGGAAAAGUAAUGAAAUCAAAAACAGGUGAGAAGAUUGUGAUCGGGACUGUUGUGUUGUUGUUAUCACAAAGUUUUAUUGAUGAAUGCAUCUUCCUACAAACAGUUCUGGGAGUGCAGUGAAUUGUUCACAGAAUAAAAUACUCACCAGAAGUGGCAAA